rnacentral:rRNA from 1 species
UACGGAGGGUGCAAGCAUUAAUCGGAUUUAUUGGGCGUAAAGGGCGCGUAGGCGGUGAGGUAAGUUAGGUGUGAAAUCCCGGGGCUCAACCCCGGAACAGCACUUGAUACUGCCUUUCUAGAGGGUAGGCGGGGAAAACGGAAUUCCACAAGUAGCGGUGAAAUGCGUAGAUAUGUGGAAGAACACCUGUGGCGAAAGCGGCGCACUGGACCACAACUGACGCUGAGGCGCGAAAGCUAGGGGAGCAAACAGG